UACGUAGGGGGCAAGCGUUGUCCGGAAUCAUUGGGCGUAAAGCGCGUGUAGGCGGCUCGAUAAGUCUGCUGUGAAAGUCCAGGGCUCAACCCUGGGAUGCCGGUGGAUACUGUCGAGCUCGAGUCCGGAAGAGGAGUGUGGAAUUCCUGGUGUAGCGGUGAAAUGCGCAGAUAUCAGGAGGAACACCAAUGGCGAAGGCAGCACUCUGGGACGUGACUGACGCUGAGGCGCGAAGGCGUGGGGAGCGAACGGG
rnacentral:rRNA from 1 species